UCCGUAGGUGAACCUGCGGAAGGAUCAUUACCGAGUGUAGGGUUCCUAGCGAGCCCAACCUCCCACCCGUGUUUACUGUACCUUAGUUGCUUCGGCGGGCCCGCCAUUCAUGGCCGCCGGGGGCUCUCAGCCCCGGGCCCGCGCCCGCCGGAGACACCACGAACUCUGUCUGAUCUAGUGAAGUCUGAGUUGAUUGUAUCGCAAUCAGUUAAAACUUUCAACAAUGGAUCUCUUGGUUCCGGCAUCGAUGAAGAACGCAGCGAAAUGCGAUAACUAGUGUGAAUUGCAGAAUUCCGUGAAUCAUCGAGUCUUUGAACGCACAUUGCGCCCCCUGGUAUUCCGGGGGGCAUGCCUGUCCGAGCGUCAUUGCUGCCCAUCAAGCACGGCUUGUGUGUUGGGUCGUCGUCCCCUCUCCGGGGGGGACGGGCCCCAAAGGCAGCGGCGGCACCGCGUCCGAUCCUCGAGCGUAUGGGGCUUUGUCACCCGCUCUGUAGGCCCGGCCGGCGCUUGCCGAACGCAAAUCAAUCUUUUUCCAGGUUGACCUCGGAUCAGGUAGGGAUACCCGCUGAACUUAAGCAUAUCAAUAAGCGGAGG
rnacentral:rRNA from 1 species